rnacentral:rRNA from 1 species
GAUGAACGCUGGCGGCGUGCCUAAUACAUGCAAGUCGAGCGAACGGACGAGAAGCUUGCUUUUCUGAUGUUAGCGGCGGACGUGUGAGUAACACGUGUAUAACCUACCUAUAAGACUGGGAUAACUUCGGGAAACCGGCGCUAAUACCGGAUAAUAUUUUGAACCGCAUGGUUCAAAAGUGAAAGUCGGUCUUGCUGUCACUUAUAGAUGGAUCUGCGCUGCAUUAGCUAGUUGGUAAGGUAACGGCUUACCAAGGCAACGAUGCAUAGCCGACCUGAGAGGGUGGUCGGCCAGAGUGGGACUGAGGCACGGUCGAGACUCCUACGGGAGGCAGCAGUAGAGGGUCUUCCGCAAUGGGCGAUAGCCUGACGGGGCAGCACCGCGUGAGUAGUGAAGGUCUUCGGGUCGUAAAACUCUGUUAUUAGGGAAGAACAUAUGUGUAAGUAGCUGUGCACAUCUUGACGAUGCCUAAUCAGAAAGCCACGACUAACUAC